rnacentral:rRNA from 1 species
AACGAACGCUGGCGGCGUGCUUAACACAUGCAAGUCGCGUGCGCAGUUGCCGUAGCAAUACGGUGAUGGGCGCACGGCGCACGGGUGCGUAACACGUGGGCAAUCUGCCCUUUGAUGGGGAAUAACCCGCCGAAAGGCGGGCUAAUUCCGCAUAAGAUUCUUUGGACUUCGGUCUGGAGAUUGAAAGCAGCAAUGCGUCGAAGGAGGAGCCCGCGCCCGAUUAGCUAGUUGGUGAGGUAACGGCUCACCAAGGCUAUGAUCGGUAGCUGG